AGAUCUCUGUCUCCGUGUGUCUCCGGAGCGAGUGACGAUCUCCAGCAAAACCUCCAGAAACGCGCAAUCGCACACUUUCCCAGGGGAAAUCCAUCAACCUCAGUCCACCAUUUCGUCAAACACCUCGUCUCUUUCUAACCAUCUCUGCAAAUUCUCCAGAUCCAAAACCCUCACCACCCUCCCUCCCUCCGAUCGCCAAUCUCCAAUCUCCCUGCAUGGUCCGCGCAUUCCCUUAGAUGGGCAAACUCUCCGUCAUCAUCUACAUUGCAGUCGCCCUCCUCCUCCUCUUCCUCGUAUCUCGCUCCCCGAGGUCCCCCUCCGCCCAUGGCCGCAGCCACCUCCGCCUGAAGCUCCGGUCCAACUUCACCUUCAAGGCCCCGGCCCACCACCACCACCACGAGCCGGUCCCGUUCGAUCCGCUCGUGGCGGAGCUCGAGCGGCACCGGGAGGACAAGCAGUGGGAGAGGGAGUACUUCGAGAACGCGCACCCGGAGGUCGUGCACGCCGCGGAGCACGCGCCGGGGGAGGAGUCGCAGCCGGAGUGGGAGGAUUUCAUGGACGCCGAGGAUUACUUGAAUGACGAGGAGAGGUUCAAUGUCACCAAUAGGCUGGUUUUGCUAUUUCCAAAGAUUGAUGUGGAUCCAGCAGAUGGGUUUGUGACUGAGCAUGAAUUGACGGAGUGGAACUUGCAGCAGGCCCAGAGUGAGGUCAUGCAUAGGACUCAGAGAGAGAUGGAGCUUCACGACAAGAACCGAGAUGGUUAUGUCUCAUUUGCAGAAUAUGAGCCACCUAGCUGGGUCCACAGUUCAGAUAAUGAUUCCUUUGCUUUUAAUAUGGGCUGGUGGAAAGGGGAGCAUUUUAAUGCAUCGGAUGCAGAUGGAGAUGGCCUACUCAAUAUUACGGAGUUUAAUGACUUUCUCCACCCAGCUGACAGCAAAAAUUCAAAGCUUCUUCAGUGGUUAUGCAAGGAGGAAGUAAGGGAAAGAGAUUCCGAUAAAGAUGGGAAGGUCAACUUUAAUGAGUUCUUUCGUGGGCUUUUUGACUUGGUAAGAAACUAUGAUGAGGAAAGCCAUAAUUCAUCACAUAAUUCUGAUGAUUCAAUGGAGGCUCCUGCCAGAGUACUGUUUAAUCAGCUCGACAAAGAUGGUGAUGGAUACUUGACGGAUGUAGAACUGCUACCUGUCAUUGGAAAGCUUCACCCUUCGGAGCGUUAUUAUGCCAAACAACAAGCAAAUUACAUCUUGUCACAGGCGGAUAAUGACAAGGAUGGGCGUCUAACAUUGACGGAGAUGAUUGACAGCCCCUAUGUAUUUUACAGUGCCGUUUUCAAUGAUGAUGAAGAUGAGUAUGAUUACCAUGACGAGUUCCGCUGAUCUCAUACUAGUCCAGGACAUCGACAAAUGCAGGAAUUCAUUUUAAAACGAUUUACCGAAAGGUUCAACCGCGUUAACAAGUGUCAUGCUAACUUGAUUAUUGUGGGAUUGGUGCUUGCCACACAAAAAAUCUCUUGCAAUUGUAUUGUUGUGACAAUAUAAAGUUUCUAGUGAACAUUUUUGUAGUGUUUUGGUAUUUUGGACUCAUUUUUCUGUUUUUUCCUUUCUAUUUUUAAGGUGCAAUCUGUUUGUUACAAAGCUAUAGCAUCUUUUCUUGAGCCAGGAAGGAGCGACAGAGUAGAGUGAUACGGGUACAGUCCCAAAUUGCAAAUUCUUUAGCUUGUAUUUGUAACUAUCUAAGUAUUCCCCAUCCUUCAAUAAUUGAACGGAGAAAACUAAAUGUGCACACGGAGAUCCAUCAGUUUGUUGUGUUAGAUUUUUUUUUGUGUACUU